GCACAAGCGGUGGAGCAUGUGGCUUAAUUCGACGCAACGCGAAGAACCUUACCAGCCCUUGACAUCCCGGUCGCGGGAACGAGAGAUCGAUCCCUUCAGUUCGGCUGGACCGGAGACAGGUGCUGCAUGGCUGUCGUCAGCUCGUGUCGUGAGAUGUUGGGUUAAGUCCCGCAACGAGCGCAACCCUCGCCCUUAGUUGCCAUCAUUUAGUUGGGCACUCUAAGGGGACUGCCGGUGAUAAGCCGCGAGGAAGGUGGGGAUGACGUCAAGUCCUCAUGGCCCUUACGGGCUGGGCUACACACGUGCUACAAUGGCGGUGACAAUGGGAUGCAAUGGAGCGAUCCUGCGCAAAUCUCAAAAAGCCGUCUCAGUUCGGAUUGGGCUCUGCAACUCGAGCCCAUGAAGUUGGAAUCGCUAGUAAUCGCAGAUCAGCACGCUGCGGUGAAUACGUUCCCGGGC
rnacentral:rRNA from 1 species